GCUGGCGGCGUGCUUAACACAUGCAAGUCGAACGCUGAAGCCGCUUCGGUGGUGGAUGAGUGGCGAACGGGUGAGUAACACGUGGGCAAUCUGCCCUGUACUUCGGGAUAAGCCUUGGAAACGGGGUCUAAUACCGGAUAGGACACUGUCUCGCAUGGGGUGGUGUGGAAAGCUUCGGCGGUACGGGAUGAGCCCGCGGCCUAUCAGCUUGUUGGUGGGGUGAUGGCCUACCAAGGCGACGACGGGUAGCCGGCCUGAGAGGGUGACCGGCCACACUGGGACUGAGACACGGCCCAGACUCCUACGGGAGGCAGCAGUGGGGAAUAUUGCACAAUGGGCGGAAGCCUGAUGCAGCGACGCCGCGUGAGGGAUGACGGCCUUCGGGUUGUAAACCUCUUUCGCCCGGGACGAAGCGUAAAAGUGACGGUACCGGGAGAAGAAGCACCGGCUAACUACGUGCCAGCAGCCGCGGUAAUACGUAGGGUGCGAGCGUUGUCCGGAAUUAUUGGGCGUAAAGAGCUCGUAGGCGGUGUGUCACGUCUGCCGUGAAAACCUGCGGCUUAACCGUGGGCGUGCGGUGGAUACGGGCAUCACUUGAGUUCGGCAGGGGAGACUGGAAUUCCUGGUGUAGCGGUGGAAUGCGCAGAUAUCAGGAGGAACACCGGUGGCGAAGGCGGGUCUCUGGGCCGAUACUGACGCUGAGGAGCGAAAGCGUGGGGAGCGAACAGGAUUAGAUACCCUGGUAGUCCA
rnacentral:rRNA from 1 species